CUUCACAAAUUCUGACGUCGGAUUCCGAAUGGAGUUGAGAAGAAUUUGAAAUAUUGUCUGAUUUUUUCAGGAACACAGUUGUCCUGGAUUGGUGAUGGGGGUUUUAGCUGCGCCCUGGGCUGACCUGGCUUUGUUCUUCAGACACUUCACUGACUCAGGCUCAGGGGAGGGCAUCCCGUUUCCUCUGGGGCUCUGUGGACUUGUGCUGUUCAUCUCUGUGUGUCUCAUUCUCCUCCAGCUCAUCAUUUACUUUCACUGGAAACUCAGACAGGUUGAAACAGAGCUGUCGAUGAGUCUGAGGAGGAGCGCCCUCACCAGGCUGAACUCCAGAAGUGCAGAAUGUAAGAGUUUAUGAUCCACACCUGACUGGAUUUACAUUACAGCGGUCUCUGAAGGAUUAUUUUAUGUGAGAGAUAAGCAGAAGAAA